GUCACGGUGGCCGAGUGGUUAAGGCGGCAGACUUAAGUUCUGCUAGAGAAAUCUUCGCGUGUUCGAACCACGUCCGUGACA